rnacentral:lncRNA from 1 species
GUCGGGAGUCGCUCACUACAAAAAUUUAUUUUAUAUUUUUAAUUCUAAUGGCCAUUCAUUUGAACGUAUUGGCCAUUUUGAAUAGAUUCAAAUUGGUGAACAUUUUCAGUGGUUACGUUCGUGUGAAGAGUUGGAUGACCCCGGAAGACUCGGAGAUGGCCAUAAGCGGCCGAGGAACAGUCAGUUUUGGACCAGCAGUCGAGAAGAUAAGUUCUGUUGAUUACCGGUUCACUCAAGAGUAUUUAUUCUUUAAGUUCUUUUAGUUUCUUAACUAUAAUUAGUUCUGUUUUAUAAUUUAUUAGUGUAUCAUUAUUUACAGACUGUUUUACACUCGC